AGGCUUGCUUGGCAGCCCCUGGGCUCUGCUCAGGGACUCUCUGGAUCUUUUGGGGACAAGGCUCAGGACAUGGGGAACGCCUGUGAACCUCUGAGGAACUUGGGAGUGCUGCUGCUGCUGAGCCACUAAACCAGGGGGCUGAGAGAACCCCAGGAGCAUGACCAGCUGCCCCGAAUUAGGGAGAGCCAAGCACCCACCCAGCAGCACCUGGGCUAAGUCUAUGUAAGAGGCAGCUGAGGCAGCAGCAGUGCCUUUUGCCAGAGCUGAUGUGGAGCUGGGCUGCUGUGAGGGGGGACCCUGGCAGCCCUGCUCCAGGAUAACCACCCUCAGGCAUGGUGGUGACACCCCACGGGGCCAUUUCCCCCCAGGGAGUGCCCAGGGCUUCGGUCCUGCAGGAGGUUUGGCUGUCUUGGAAGGGCCAUGGUGCCGACUGGAGAAGUUUUAGGAGGCAGUGAGCAGGCUGCACAACAUCGGAGUUUCAUGGGAGGUGGACAGGAAUUUCUCUGGGAGUGGCAGCUUGCAGAGCCUCAGCCACAUCUGCCACAGAGAAGCAGGCAGUGCCCACCCCCACCAGCAAGGUUUUUAACUACAAAACAGGCUCAAAGCAUGUGAGGUGACAGGAAGGCUUCAAAAAGUAACAAGUGCUGCUUAAGUGGGGUCCCUUUCAGCAUCUGCAUGUAAGCAUGGCCACAUCUAUGAGGUUCCACUCUGGAGAAAUUCCCCACACCCUUCCUGGUAGGGAAAGCACAUGGGGGUGCCUCCCUGAGGUGUCUGCUUACGAACGGUGUGGGGGGCUAACAUGGAGAGCUGUGUGCAGGUGAAAUACAAUCUUGGAUCACAGAGGUGUGCUGGGAUGACUCCCAAGCCCUGGGAGUGCUGCAGAGGGGGGAUACAGGCUCUGCUGCCAGGAGGAGAUUCCGGUGCCCUGGUCCCUGUGGGCACUCCCAAGGAGAGUGAUGUGAGCAGGCAGAACAGUGUGGCAGAGCACAGGGAACCCAGGAGCACCCUGGAUCCAGGGGUUCCACUGCACCCCCACCCUCCUGCAAGGAGGGGCUCACUGGGAUGAGGGUCAGAGGCUGCCUUGGCUGCAGUGACCAUGGGAUAAUGAAGGCAGCUGGGGAUGAGGUCAGGCAAAGCCAAAGCCCAGCUGAAUUGGGUCUGGCAAGCCAUGGGAGGGACUAAAGGGGUUUGAGUACUUGGGUAGCUAGAGGAAGGCCAAGGGAAGUCUGGGCAGACUCCUGGCUGGAAGUAGGGCAUGGAUAGGCAGACAGUGAGGUGGAUUGCAAAGCGGCUGAAUGACUGUGUCCAGAGGGUGACAAUCAGUGGCCUGUCUUUACUGUGAGGGUGACAGAGCUUUGGCGGGGCUGUGGAGUUUCCAUCCUUGGAGGCAAUGAAAGAGUGUUUGGACAAGGUGCAGGACAACUGGUUUCAGGUGGCCCUGCUCAAGCUGGGGCCUCAGGCAAGUUGACCUUCAGAGCUACUUUGCAGCCUCAAGCACUUGGGGAUCCCAAGGGCUAAAGGCUCAAAGCAGCCCAGAGCAGCUUGUCUGCUCUUCAGGCAGCAAGAAGGCUUUAAAAUUAAAAAAGGGGCAAACCAAACCUGGCAUUAUGUAAUGUCUCACUGGUAGUCUCCUCAAAGCAACACAUGCAGGGCAUGAUUCACUUCUCCCCCCACCAAUGUAACUUGGUAUAAAUCAACAGUAACUUGAAGGAAGUUGCUCCAAGGAAAACCAAGCUCACAAAGUAGGAGGGAGAGCAGUAAUUUCAUACAACAGGGCCAGAAGCUUUCAAGCCCAUAAAAACUAACUCUCUAGAGGCAAGGGCCAACAGGCAUUUGGAAUUUAAAGCAUCAUGCAGCACCUUUUGAGUAAUAUAAUCCCCUGAAACCAAAUAAAUACAAUGCCUCUGUGGGCAAAAACACAGAGACAGGAUUCAGCAGUACCUCUUUGUCUGUCGGCAGUAGUCAGUCAUUAACAUCAAUGAACAGUGAUAAAACCAAACAAGUUUAUACCCAGCUCAACACCCACAUCCAAAAAAUGUCUCACUACCAUGGCUUCAUUCCUCUUGACAACAGCAAAAGAGAACUUCGUCUGAAAGCCUAAGUGCUCACCAAGGCCAGUAUUUCACUUUGUAGACUCUGACUGGCUUCGGGAUAAAUUAGUGAUUACAGCUAAUAUCAGGAUACAGUGUGAGGCAGUAAAAAGAGAUAAUUAUGAGGAAAUGGGGAAUUAUCUGCUGUUGAAACAAUAGAUCAAUUAUGAGGUACAGCACAGUAGCUGCAGAGCAGCAUUCUUGUGCUCUGAGGGUACUGCCUCCUCUUUCUCAUCAACCAAGGAGAACCCACAGUUAUAAAGCUUAAUUAUCCUCCAGGAGCUUGAGCUUGCUGACUAAUUAGCCUCUUGUUGAGACAAUGCAGGAAAGGAUAUAACUCCAGUUGUCCGCUACAACAGCACGGCACAGGCACAGUCUCUUUCCCCGCGUCUUCAUCUCUCCUGUCCUACGAGAGCCCUGAUAUACCCGCAGCCCCGUCAGCCUAAAACCAGUCCUGAGCCCAAAAUAAACUAAACCCAGCCAUGGGAGCUCUGAGAGGGGGGUACAGAUGAAAGGGAAGGAAGCAGAGUGUCUGAGGCAGUCUCUACAGCAGCUGGAGUGCUCCUGCUCCCACAGCAGAGCUGUGUGAAUCCCGCUUUGCUCCGUGCAUGGACACACUGGCAGGGCUCCCACAAAUGGGGACUAAGCUGAGCUUGAUGGCUCAGCUGCAUGGCUGCAGUUAGGAGCACGUCAACACCAAGAUUUACAGUCAGAAUUAGUAAAAAACAUGAAGGUUGAAGUUCUUAGGAGCCAAGUUCUUGUCUAACACACCACUGCAGUCAAGUGACCCCAGCCCAGAAACAGGGUCUUGCUGUGUGCAGUGGAAAACCACCAGAAAGGUCCACAAGCCUCUGGCAGAUGGGUUCAUCCGGCAGCUCCUGUCAUUUGGUAGAGAUGUUUGGUGUCUGGGCUGCUGAGCAAUAUGGAAUAUCUGCAGCAACAUGUUAUUUAUGAGUGAGCUUUUAGAGGAGUUUAUGGCACAGCAAGUGCAAAUACCCACUGUGGUUAAUGAAGGAGUGUUGAUAAUAUUCGCAGUCAGCAAACACACAGGAAGGGAAAAUGUCAGACCACAUCUGCUUUGUACAGAGACUGGAGACACCUGAGAUUUCCUUCCAUCUCAGUGACUUCACUGUGCUUUUUUAGCUUUUGAGAAUGGCUUCUUUGAGAAUGCAGUGCAAUCAUAGCUAUUUCCAAUGCAGUAUUUCCGAAUCCCCUUUAAAAUCCACCUCCCUGAUGGCCAGCCUGGCUUUGCUGCCGCUUCCCUGGAGCAUGCUGCUGAAAAGGUCUUUGGUCAGGAGCUCCUCAGGCCCCACAAAGUCAUGGGAGCAGAGGAAAAAAGGCAAAUACAGGCAGGUUCCCAGGCAAGUCAGUUCUGGGCACACAUUCUAGGGGAAGAAUUCAGACCCCACAGCUGGGUUACACUCUGUCUGGAGAUGCAGGUCUUCUUCACCCACAGUCUGGUCCAUGCUCAGGCAAUCGAGUCCUAGGGGUUAUCAUUUGGCACUCAAAACAUGAUGUUUAGUUUUCCUGAGGCCACUGGUCCUGCCUGACCUUUCUAAAAUCCCUCAAUGUGGCAUAAACUGCAGAUGUUUUUAUCUGUCCCUUCCAUCACCCAGGUCAAAUGGAUCGUUUCCACUGGUGUGAUGCUGAACUUUAUUUCCUAAAUACAAAAAGUGCCUCGUAAAAACACAGUGAUUAGACCUGUGCAUACAAAUGCUCCCCAAAAGCCAGUUCAGCAUCAGGUCAAGGCUAAUUAAUUAGUGCUUUAACCAUGGCUGCAGGUGU